CAACACAUUGAUGUUCAUUCACUGCCAGUUCGUCAUCAACUCAUUUGCUGGUUUCACCUUGCCUCACGCGCUACCUCUGGACUCAGGAUACCAAGCAAACAUUUUGAAAAUCACUCUGUGCCUCACCUGCCUGCCCUCCUGCCAUCACACUGAAGACCCCGGAUCUCAGGUCAGCCUUGUCACACCACUCAGCCCCCCUGGAUUCUCAUCACCCCCCUCUCAACACUCUAUGUCCCCUACUGCAAUGUGACUGUUCUCUGCUCAGCUCCACUCUGCAUCUCAGGCCCUGUUCCCUCGCCCUAGCCACGCCACGUCAAACUCCACGUCUUAUCGUUUUUUGUCCUUGCUACGUUUCUUGCACUCCAGCCUAAUAAAUUAUUGUUACAUCAUCUGCUGUCUCAGCUCUGGGUUUCUGCACCUGAGUCCUGUUCUGUACAGACCACUCGGUCCCG